rnacentral:rRNA from 1 species
CCUGUCUGGUAGCGGGGGAUAACUAUUGGAAACGAUAGCUAAUACCGCAUAAUAUUGAUUAUUGCAUGAUAAUUGAUUGAAAGAUGCUAUUGCAUCACUACCAGAUGGACCUGCGUUGUAUUAGCUAGUAGGUGAGGUAACGGCUCACCUAGGCGACGAUACAUAGCCGACCUGAGAGGGUGAUCGGCCACACUGGGACUGAGACACGGCCCAG